AACGAACGCUGGCGGCAUGCCUAACACAUGCAAGUCGAACGAGACCUUCGGGUCUAGUGGCGCACGGGUGCGUAACGCGUGGGAAUCUGCCCUUGGGUUCGGAAUAACAGUUAGAAAUGACUGCUAAUACCGGAUAAUGACGUAAGUCCAAAGAUUUAUCGCCCAAGGAUGAGCCCGCGUAGGAUUAGCUUGUUGGUGAGGUAAAGGCUCACCAAGGCGACGAUCCUUAGCUGGUCUGAGAGGAUGAUCAGCCACACUGGGACUGAGACACGGGCCAGAGUACUACGGGAGCCAGCAGUGGGGAAUAUUGGACAAUGGGCGAAAGCCUGAUCCAGCAAUGCCGCGUGAGUGAUGAAGGCCUUAGGGUUGUAAAGCUCUUUUACCCGGGAUGAUAAUGACAGUACCGGGAGAAUAAGCCCCGGCUAACUCCGUGCCAGCCGCCGCCGUAACAC
rnacentral:rRNA from 1 species